GAUGAGAAAAGUGAAGUGACCGAGAAGAGGAAUUUAAGUGUUGCCAGUGCCACAGAAUUUAUUGGACAUGGAAGAUUUCGACGAAGUAACACUUGCCACGCUCAGAGGUAUGUAUUGUUUUUUUCAAAUUGCAUUUCAACAUGAAAUUUAUGCUAUAACUAGCUAGUUCAUCAAGUUCAUCUAUGGCGCUAGUUAGCAUGGCUAGGUAUCACAAACUAGCCUAUUUACUGUACACUAAUGUCUCUGUUGCAACGUAGCUGGAAUAUUAUCCUCCCUUGUAAAUCGUUUUGGACAAAAUUGCCUGCUAAAUGACUAAAUGUAGAUAUUGAGGUGUCUGUGCUUUAUACUCAACAUCAGCUAAUAUCACUGAGGAUAUCCUGCGCACACUGUCUAGAGAUGACAUUAGGGAUCUCUUUCCUGGUCCAGACAGAGCACUUUCUUCGACGAAAAGAUGUUUGGCUCAAAAUCUACGUGGAGGACCAAAUCAUGGAUGAGUUUCGUUGAGUUGUUGAAAAGGACAACAUUGACUUCUUGAAAGACUUGAGAGAAAGAUGGGAUUCGUUCUAUAGUAAGGUCCAAUACUAUGGAGUGGUGAAGCAUGCAAUGAAGCCCCCCCCUGACCAUGGACAGUGUUGAACAUGCCAUCGCUGUCUUCACCGCUUUACCGCAGCUCUUUCCAUCAAAUUCGAAGGCACGCAGCCAAAUUGAGGCAAUUUUCCAUGUUUUAACGCCCUCGGAGAAUCCGGACGCUUUCCUGCGCACACAAGCAUACCCAGUUGUCCUGUUGGGAGAAGAAAACUGCCUUCUCGCCAUUGG